GAUAAAUCUUCGCCCGAACAGUUCAUCUUUUGCGGAUAUUGGUUUAUUUGCUGAGGUUUCCACCACGAGUUUGUUAAAGUUUCGCAACACAAGUUCAAAAGAAUUCUUGAAGUUGGUUUCCAAUUUCAUGGAAGUUAUGGAAAAUUAUACAAUUGCUGCUGCCCGGAAAUUACAUCACCAACAAAAGGCAAACUUCUCUUCCAAUAACUUGGAAAUCGUUAUGCAAGCAAUCCGGAACAGCACAAUCCCAAACGCU